GAUGAACGCUGGCGGCGUGCCUAACACAUGCAAGUCGAACGAAGCACCUUACCUGAUUCUUCGGAUGAAAGUUUGGUGACUGAGUGGCGGACGGGUGAGUAACGCGUGGGUAACCUGCCCUGUACAGGGGGAUAACAGCUGGAAACGGCUGCUAAUACCGCAUAAGCGCACGAGGAGACAUCUCCUUGUGUGAAAAACUCCGGUGGUACAGGAUGGGCCCGCGUCUGAUUAGCUGGUUGGCAGGGUAACGGCCUACCAGGGCAACGAUCAGUAGCCGGUCUGAGAGGAUGAACGGCCACAUUGGAACUGAGACACGGUCCAAACUCCUACGGGAGGCAGCAGUGGGGAAUAUUGCACAAUGGGGGAAACCCUGAUGCAGCAACGCCGCGUGAGUGAAGAAGUAUUUCGGUAUGUAAAGCUCUAUCAGCAGGGAAGAUAAUGACGGUACCUGACGAAGAAGCUCCGGCUAAAUACGUG
rnacentral:rRNA from 1 species